GCAUAUGGAAGUUCCUGAGCUAGGAGUCAAAUCUGAGCUGCAGCUGCAGGCUUACACCACAGCCACAGCAACACCAAAUCCGAGCUGCAUCUACAACCUAUGCCACAGCUUGAGGCAAUGCUAGAUCCUUAACCCAUUGAGAGAGGCCAGGAAUCAAACCCUUAUCCUCAUGGACACUAUGUUGGGCUCUAUUUUGGGAAUGCCUUGAUUUCCUUUUUAACCUCACCCCACCAUCCGCAGAGGUACACCUGAUCCUCCUAGCUCUUCCGCAGCAUCUGCAGCCUAGGCUGUCAGAGACUGGUUAGCAGAGCUCACCCCAGCACCAGAGGGGGAAGCCCUGCUCAACACUGCUCCUGGGCAGAAUGCUGAAGCCCCAAGCCAGAACUGUGGGCACAUUCCCACCCCAGGGAGGUAUCUCCAGCCUUGAAGACUGACACACACAAAGGCAGAGUAUUGCCACGCUUUUGUGGGAGGUGGUUUGUGUUUUUACCUGUCUGGCAAGCCCCUUGUAUUCCCUGUGCCAAUGGGUGCACCUGCUCCUGCAUCCUUAUUUCUUUAUAAAGCAGCCCCUAUCUUCACAGUCUUGGUGACAUGGUCCAGAAUUGGAGCUGAGAGAAGACAUGUAGGUAACGAGGUUCUGGGAUGCCCCACCCCCACCCCCAGGGCAGAGGCUAAAACCUCAUUUCUUCCUCUACAGGAGUUUAACAAUCCCCAUACCCUGGCAUACAAUUCUGAAACUCUCAUACACCAGGCUCUCGGAGACGUCACAUACCCCAGGCAGGCACCCAAGCUCCACGGCCCAUGAGGCCCGGAGCAUGAGGGGUUCAGGCUUCCUUUGGGAACAUCUGAGCUGAAGUUAGUGCCUGUGGGGACAGUCUUGGUCCCAGGACCUCUCCUUGGGGUCUGUACAUAAGAGGCUCUCUUUCAGAAUUUCUGGGACUCAUGAAGCAUUUACAUUGCGGAGAUGCAGCUUGCCUCCAAUGCCACUGAGAAUGGAGCCGAAGAAAAGGAUUUCCUAAAGCACAAGGGAAGGGAACUAGCUAUAAAGCCCUUUAUGAUACGAGGGCUGCUUCAUCCUAGGAGUUGAAAGAGACAGUGGAUUUAUCUCCCAGAAAAUAACUUUCAAAAUGGUUUCCACCAAAACACAGGGCUGGACUAACGGAAUGUAACACUGAUUGCCCAUGUACAGGGUGUAAGCCACAAGUAACAGUUUCAUUCAACAGAUAUUUAUUUAAUGAGUAACUGUUGUACAUAGGAGGGACGAUGCUAGGUACUGAAGGUCCUGCACUAUGUAAUCACACUGGUAAUUAAACAGGGAUCAGUGCUGAGGAGAUGUACAGGAUCCUAAAAGAAUACACGUUGAGAUGACAUGACCUAUUUGAGGUUGUUGGAGGGACCACACUUCAAAAGUGACAGGUGAGCUGAAGAGACAGAAGAAUGUUCCAAGAAGGGAAAACCUCUGAGAGAGGCACAGCAGACCCAUUUGAGAAAGAACUACAAAGAGACAAUCGAGUGUGUGUGCUGAGGGAGAUACAGAACGGCUUCUGCUUGGAGAAACUCUCAAUGACAGAAGGAAAUGAGAAGAGGUUUCAGAAUUGUAGCAUGUGACUGGGUAGCUCAGAUGUAAUUCUGUAGGAACUUUGGAGGCAGGGGAGGUCAGUAAUGACCUUUGGGAGGUGGAGGCUGGUCCUCAGCUGGGUCUUACACAAUGAGCUGUGUAGACAGAGAGAAAAGGAGGGUCAAAACCCAGGCUACCCACUUCCACGUCUCCCUUCUCUCCCAUCGGUUAAUUUGUCUUUUACCAUAUAUAUUGUAUAUAAUGUCCCUCAUAGAAAUGUCUCCUGUGGGUCUGCUUUCCACCCCCCUGCCUAGUCAGAGCCCCAGUGUGGAAGAGUGGCCUGUAAAAUGCAAGUAGGACCACACCACCUGCUGCUCGCCUCCUUCUAGUAGCUCCCAUCGCCCUGUGAAUAAAGAUGACUCCCUAACCUGGCAAACAGCCUCUCGUUCUGUAAUCACCAAGUGCCUCUAACCCUCUGCUUAUGGCCUAAUCCCCCACAUACACACACACUCCUUGAGACACUUCCCAUUUCCUGGGUGUGGCCUUCUCUCUCCAGCACUGCCUAUGACCAGAGCUUCUCCUAGAGUCUCUGGGGGAUACAACACUCUUCCUACAUGACCUUAUUUCAUGGGCCAAAGGUAUUCUCAGACACCAUUACACAGACACAGACAGACAGACACACACAGGCAAACCCUCCUGAAGCUAUUUAUAUCUGAAAAUGACUUUCCUAUAGAAGUUUAUUCUUCAUCUGAUCUCUGGAGACCGAGCAGUGAAAGGUUGCCCAAGCACUUAUUGAGCACCUGCUGUGUUUCCAGGCCAACAAGAGCCAUCAAGGGAGGCCUGAGGGCUGGCAUGGGCCUUGCAUUGAUCACAAUCUAAUGUCAACAAUAUCACCACCAGCAAGGAGGCCCUUUCUAAGACGUUGAGGGAGCUCCCAUGUAAAACUAGAUCCAUGUUGUAUGUUUGACUCUGCUGUUGCCAUUCUUGGGUUGUUGUCAUCAGUGUUUUCCAUGAUUGGCACACCUAUCCUAUGUGCCUGGAACUGUACCAAGCCACGGAAGGUGGGCUUCCCUGGAGAGCAGACUCUAAGACAGAGUUUAGGCUACAGGAUGUUUCAUUAGGAGUGGGCUUGGGGUCACAGCUGUGGAAGAGGAGGAACGGAAGCAGGAAGGGCAGAGGGAGAAGUGAUGCAGGCUCAGUGAACCCAGCAAUGCCCUGGGCUUCAGUGGCCCUUUCUGUGUGGUCCUGGGUUGAGCUGAGAUGAAGAGGCCUUUACGAUCUUGCAUUUAAUCAGUCACUGGACCAACAGUUCCCCCAGCUGGGACAACUAGUACUUUACUGAAGAGGGGUGUGGGUGGCACAUGGCAGGGUUCACCACACAGCUGCUUUCCAUAUCUCACUUUGGAAACUCACAAACACCCAAGAGGCAGAUAUCAUUUUAACUUUAUAGAUGAGAAAUUGAGGCAUAGAGAAAGAAUCACCUGACCUAAGUUCUACAGCUGGAUUUGAACUCGGUUCUGAUUUCUCGGCUAGUGCUUGUGUCACUCUGCAAUGUUCACUCCUCCCAAGCAAGUGGGCGGGGGCUCAGAGUGUGUCCCCUGCAUGGUCUGAGCAUAUAUUGGACAGUGAGGACCUCCUCUUUGUUGAAAUAACCAGGAGGAUGGAGGCGGAAGCAGCACGUUUGGAUCAGUCUAGGCAUAAGUGGAUUGUACCACCACAUGUACUCACCUAUACCUCUCUUGCUGGCAUGGGGUCUCAUCUAAGCCACAUUCAGGACCCCAGGAGAAAGUACCAAGUGUGGGACUCAUGGGUGCAAUUAUCUUACUUAAAUAAAAACACAGGAAGCCCAGGUAAAUUUGAAUUUCAGACUGACAACAAAUGAUGAAUUUAGUAUUAAUUUAUCCAAGCAGUAUUUGAGACACAUUUGUACUAAAAAGCCAUUUGUUUUUUAUCUGGCAUUCAAAUUAACUGGGUGCCUGGUAUUUUAUCUGUCAAGGUUUCUCACAGGUGAAGAGGGAGGCACGCAUCCCCAUCUGCAAGAGGAUGUCAAGUAAUCUACAGAUUCCUCAGACCAAGCUCUCUCCUGGUCUGCAAUGCAUCUUCCUGCACUCAAUGUGUUUCAUUGCACAGUUAAAGCUAAUGCACCCUUGGGAGAGGGGACCUGUGGGCUACACCUCACCCCCUUGAGGUAUUACUGACAGCAUGUUUGGGGAGACACACAAGAGAACACAGAUGAAGAGAGGAGGUGCAAGGAGUGGACAUCACGAAAAGGGGAGGGCUCAGAUGAAAGAACAGGCUGAUGCUGUGCAGAACAGCCAUGAGCAUCUCCGUUUUUCUCAGUCAGGCUCCCUGAGAGUGGGUCCCAGUCUUUUAGGAGGGUUCAACUAGCUCCUGGGCUCUCCUCUCUCUAGCUUGGAGAAGAACACUCUAUCCCCACCCCCACAACAAAUCCCUGCCCACCAGCAACACGUGCACCCCUGACCUGCUUGAUGGGCCACCCAGGGUCCAGUGGCCUAGUACCACUGUAGCCAAAACAGACCCAGUGAUGCAAACCUCCCAGGUUCCUGCUCAGAGUCUCCUUGCCCUUGGCCUAGAUCUCAGUGUUUCUCAGCAGCUCUGUGAUAUUAAAAGAUAAUGUACAGUGGAGAACAGAAUUGUGGCUGCCAAGGGGGAGGAGGGGAGUGGGAUGGACUGGGAGUUUGGGGUUAGUAGAUGCAAACCGUUACAUUUAGAAUGGAUGAGCCAUGGGGUCCUACUGUACAGCACAGGGAACUAUAUCCAGUCUUGGGAUAGAACAGGAUGGAAGAUAAUAUUAGAAAGGGAAUGUACGACUGGGUCACGUUACUAUACAGCAGAAAUUGGCACAACAUUGUAAAUCAACUAUACUUUAAUAAAAAAAAUCACACGAAAAAAAAUAAAAUGUCUAGACCAUCAAAAAGGCCAUCACGAGUGACCUGAAAGUCUUCCUUUUCCCCCAACUUUCCAAAUAAGCCAUUCCCUUUUAUGAUCCAGAGAUUCAUAAAAAUGCAUAAGUGAAGGCAACAGCUUAAACAGUUUUCUUUUAGGAGUUUAGCACUAAAUACAUUAAAUGAAUUCCUUCAGCCCUUGGACAUGAAGCCAUUAGAUAUGGACUAUUACUUGCAUUAUCAUUACAUUAGAGGGUCGUUAUGAAAAAUAAAAGUUCUAAUCAGCAUGAACAUUUAUAAAGUGCCAUGAUGGGGAAUAUGCCAGGCUGGGCUGUCUCAAAUAUCUGGAUGAACCACAGUGAAUAAUGACUUUGAACAAAAAGAGGUUGAACACAAAGAAUCACUUCAACAAAUCCCACUCAAAGUCAUUAGCAAUUAAAGGCUUUAGGGAAAAGGGCAGGUCCACCCCCAGCUCUCCAGCUAAGCAAGAGAGUUCUCUAAGCACUUUUCAGUGGCCUGUGAUGACACUGUCUUGACCCUCCUGGCCCAGCCUCCAGGGAAGAAGCAGACCCGACGUGGUCCUGACAAGGUUCUAGGCAUCCCUGCGUGGUAGCUCAGGGCCACAGCAGGUGGCAAGAAGCAGCUCCAUGAGUAGCGUGGUGGACCCGCCACCCCUCUUAAAUGCUGUCCUUUCUCACUCAUCUGUCUGUUUCUACUGUGACCCUCUAUGAGUGAUCCUCAUUCUAGAUGAUUCUGGAAUGAGCUACAUUCACUGCCUCUAAUACUGGAUGACCUUACAGGGACCUUGGUACCCCCUUGUCAUGUGGCAGGGAAUGCUGUCACAUGCAUGGAAAGUGUGGGCCAAUCCCAUGGGCUGGACGCCAGGGCAGGUCCUUGGCCAAAGGCUGGAUCUGAUGGCUCAGCCACCUUGGAGUGGUCAGAAACAAAAUGAAUGAGUCAGCAAGGGCCAAACCAUGCGAGUAGUCAGGCCAAGGAUCCAGUGGGGAGGCUGAACCAUUCCUGGAGGCCAGGGAUCUCUGAAGGGGGAGGGCUGCAUUUGGGGGCCAUAGGCAAGGAACAAAGUGGCCAUGAGACUGGAGGGUCCCCUCUGAAGGCUGUGCCUCAGGACUCCUUCCAUCCUCCUCCAGGACACUCUCUCUGACUUCCCAGGGCGAGCAGCUCCCUCCCCAGGGCACCCACUGGGUCCUGCACAGACUCCUAUCUGAGUAUGUGGAAAUAGUCUCAGUGAACUUUUUUACUUCCAUAUACUGGACUGUGGCCUCUGCUAGGGAAGGGGAGUAUCCAGAUGCCCUCAUCAUCCUUCCAUCCAUCUGUCCAUUCGGUUAUUCAGUCAUUAACUGGCUUAGCAGAUUUGUCAACCAACAAGUUCCUUUCACGGUGCCAGGUGCUUACCUUGUUUCUACAUCCAGCACCAGAAACAGAGUCUGGCAUACAGUAGGUAACAAGUAAUGUUGAUGAAUAAAUGCACAGGUGACCAAAGACUUAUUCUGCUAAGGGGGCUGCAUUCGCAGGCGGCCCUCUUGCUGGAGGAAUGGAGGUGAGGGUUGAGGAUGAUGUCACUGUGGUUAAAGUCUCUGUGUCCAGACCGAUAUAAAAUCCCCCCUUACCAGCAGCAUCUCCUUCACUGCUCCAUCCUGGCACACACAAAAAAACUCUUUUAUUCCAAGCACUAUCAGUCUUUUGGAUUAAGGUAUUUUCUCCAAGUGUUGCCAAUAAAAUGUUUACGAGAUUACUUUUGCCCCUCUAGAGAUGCAAUGCAAGUUCUUUUGAAGUUUGUUUCCCCCAAUUGAACUUCCUCUGAAUUACCUAUCUGCUUUGUUUAGCAGAACCUCAAGGAGUCUUUGAGGAGGAGAAGUGCUCCUCAUUUGUCUCCUCAGCACUGCCCACUGCAUGGAACCCUGUCAUUUCACUUCCCCGGGGCGCCGCAGCUCAUGCUCUCACUUUGUCUGAGUGAUCUUGCCCUUCUGCUUUGUGGCACUACCCUAACCAUGCUCUGCUGAGCUUUUGCUAUUUCUCUAAUACCCCUUUCCUCAUAAAAACAACCUGUGUUGCACGUUGCACUUUACAGUUAAAUUAUUCCUCCCUUAUUGUGUGUUCAGCAACUUUUGGGCAUCCCAGCUAUUGUAACUUAUUACACACUUAGUUGAACUUAUUAAAUUCCACUUGUCUCCAGUUUUGUUUAUUUUCAUUUCUGUAAUAGAGUCUGUGUCCUUUGGUACAGACUUUUCAACAGGCUUUCUAAGCCAGCGUGGAUCACAGGGAAUUCGACCUCGCUGGGGAAUGACAGGGGGGCUCAGGGGUCCUGGGAAAAGGUCUUCUCAGAGUCUGCACUAUGGCUCCAAGCAUUUUGGUACAACCAAGUCCCUCCAACCAAUUCCCAGAAACCAAGCAGGCUUCCCAUGGAAAAGCGUUUUGAAACAGCAGGCUGUCAUGGAGGCUGGGCCGGCUCCCUCACGGCAACGAUGUUCAUGGGACAGAAUGUUCUGCCACGCCAUCUGUCCCGCAUGGGUGGGAUGUGUCAGAAAGAUCAUUUUGCCAGCUCCAGAAAUGAUAUUCUUUGAACCCAAGAAGCCCUCCUGUGCUUGGAAAAGGCACUGGAAUCUUGCCUGGAACUUGUUAAACUGCAGAAGGCUGAACAGAGCCCAAGAUGAAGCUAGAAAUGUGUUGGAAUUUGCCACCAGGGUUCUUGGGCAGGGGGCCAGGGCAGCCCUGGGCAGGGUGCUCUUUAAGCAUUAAUCCUUAGCAAAGCUGCAUUUCCCACCCCACACCAGCAUCUGCCCAGACAGCUGAGAGGGAUUUCUUCUAAGGAGCCCCUGGAGAGCCUAUGCACUUAUUCCAGUGAUUCAGCCUUGCUGGAACCAUUUGGAGCAUUUCUCUCUGAAAACUGCCUCGAGAAGGCUGAUUCUCUCGGCAAAUGCUUUACACAGCCUGUAUGUGCUGUGCAGGGCACGUGACCCACACCAUUGAUUUCUCCUAGAAACCCCAUGCCUUUAGCGAUCAUCUUUUCCCUUAUACGGAUCAGGAGAUAUUAGGCUCAGAGAUGCUGAGGAUUCCCCCAUGGCUCCCAUGAUUCCUGUGGACCAGGAAGCAAGGUGAAAUGAGGUGGUCUCAUGUCACGGCCUGAACUCUUCCCGCCCAGCCACACUUCUAUCUAACUGUCUAGAUGUUUGAACAAACACUUGCCCAGAUGACAUCAUGUGUGGGACCCUCUGCUGAAGGCUGGGUUACAAAGGUUUAGUAAAGAUCUGUCCUCUUGAUUAAAAAGUAGUCCCAAUGUAGAGAACUAUGUCAUAACUCAACUCUUCUAAGACGGAAAAAACUGCCAAGGAAGUGUGGACAAGGAGCAGCAGGGGUGCAGGGGCAGGAAGCCAUCUUCUUGGGGGAAAAUCUGAGGUGUGAAAUGCACUCCUGGAAGAUACACACUGAAAUGACUCUUUAGAGACGACAAGGAGUUAUCAAGCCUCCAAAGAAAGGGAGGUUGUUUUAGGGAAAAAAAAAAAAAUCACAUGCAAAGGCCCAGGAGCAGGUGAAUGUGCAGCCUCUUGGGUGAAUAAAAAUAGUUUGGUAUGACACAUGCUAGCAUGGGGCUGAGGAUGUAAAGAGGAG
rnacentral:lncRNA from 1 species